rnacentral:rRNA from 1 species
UGGGGAAUAUUGGACAAUGGGGGCAACCCUGAUCCAGCCAUGCCGCGUGCGUGAAGAAGGCCUUAGGGUUGUAAAGCGCUUUCAGCGGGGACGAUGAUGACGGUACCCGCAGAAGAAGCCCCGGCUAACUCCGUGCCAGCAGCCGCGGUAAUACGGAGGGGGCAAGCGUUGUUCGGAAUUACUGGGCGUAAAGGGCGCGUAGGCGGCAUAUCAAGUCAGAGGUGAAAGCCCCGGGCUCAACCUGGGAAUUGCACUUGAUACGGGCCGGUUUGAGGACGAGAGAGGAGUGUGGAAUUCCCAGUGUAGAGGUGAAAUUCGUAGAUAUUGGGAAGAACACCAGUGGCGAAGGCGGCACUCUGGCUCGUAUCUGACGCUGAGGCGCGAAAGCGUGGGAGCAAACAGGAUUAGAUACCCCCGUAGUCC